GAGUCUGCAACGGCACCGGAUCGACUACCAUCUUCAACAGUGUCAGAAUAUCUCCAUACUGGUCAACAAACCCCUUCUGGUUACCACUGGUCAUAAGGUUGCUCAACUCAAUCAGAGACGUCAAAGGUUCACGGUGAAAGCUGUAGGAACGAGUCUUCCGCUUCAACUUUGGGACUGUUGCCAUCUCUAUCAGUGAACAAGCUCUGGAAUGUACCUGAGAAAUGAUAUGCAUGCAGGGAUUAGUUUUUUUUGUUUUCUUUUUCCCCUUUUCUUUUUUUUUGUAUCUUUUUUUAUUGCGUUUCUUUUGAAAAAUAAAUAUGCUAUGAUGCAAAUGAUGCAGACACGACUGGUUGGCUGUGUCUCUCAGAACACAGGAUCAAAGCUUCAGCUUGAACUCGGAACCACAAAUUCAUCUGAAACCCAAAGUCAUCUGAGACCCCAAAAUUCUGAGCCAAUAGUCACCAACAGGAUCACAAGUCACCAACAAGUCACCAACGAGUCACCAACUGUACCUGUAAUAAUGAUCAUUCCCUCCCCACUCACGGGUGUCGUCUAGGCCAGGGUAAGGUCGAGAGAAACGCAGCAUAAAUAACCUUUCGCAGAACAUCAUCAUAUACACACCCGAAGUAUGUAACGAUAAUAUCCCACCAGGGUCUGAACUGCUCGUGAUAUCAAUGUUCCGCUAAGUGGCGCAAUACCACCCGCUUCCCAUGAAUCACUCUAUUCCUAAGUAUCCUAGAUUUCACUCAU
rnacentral:lncRNA from 1 species